CGGCACGUAGCGCAGCACGGUAGCGCACCGUCAUGGGGUGUCGGGGUCGGAGGUUCAAAUCCUCUCGUGCCGACCA
rnacentral:tRNA from 3 species